GACGAACGCUGGCGGCGUGCCUAAUACAUGCAAGUAGAACGCUGAAGGAGGAGCUUGCUCUUCUGGAUGAGUUGCGAACGGGUGAGUAACGCGUAGGUAACCUGCCCGGUAGCGGGGGAUAACUAUUGGAAACGAUAGCUAAUACCGCAUAACAUUGACUAUUGCAUGAUAGUCAAUUGAAAGGUGCAAAUGCACCACUACCAGAUGGACCUGCGUUGUAUUAGCUAGUUGGUGGGGUAACGGCUCACCAAGGCGACGAUACAUAGCCGACCUGAGAGGGUGAUCGGCCACACUGGGACUGAGACACGGCCCAGACUCCUACGGGAGGCAGCAGUAGGGAAUCUUCGGCAAUGGACGGAAGUCUGACCGAGCAACGCCGCGUGAGUGAAGAAGGUUUUUGGAUCGUAAAGCUCUGUUGUAAGAGAAGAACGAGUGUGAGAGUGGAAAGUUCACACUGUGACG
rnacentral:rRNA from 1 species